UCCCUACUAGCUCAAAUGGUAAAGUGUCUGUCUGCAAUACAGGAGACCUGGGUUCGAUUCCUGGGUUGGGAA
rnacentral:tRNA from 1 species